GCCCACGUAGCUCAGUCGGUAGAGCGCAUCCUUGGUAAGGAUGAGGUCACCAGUUCAACCCUGGUCGUGGGCU
rnacentral:tRNA from 1 species